UACGUAGGUGGCAAGCGUUACUCGGAAUCACUAGGCGUAAAGCGCAGGUAGGCGGUUCGGUAAGUCUCUUGUGAAAGCUCCCGGCUCAACUGGGAGAGGUCAAGGAAACUACCGGGCUAGAGUGUGGCAGAGGAAGCUGGAAUUCCCGGUGUAGCGGUGAAAAUGCGUAGAGAUCGGGAGGAAUACCUAUGGCGAAAGCAGGCUUCUGGGCCGUCACUGACGCUGAUCUGCGAAAGCUAGGGGGAGCAAACAGG
rnacentral:rRNA from 1 species